UACGAAGGGGGCUAGCGUUGCUCGGAAUCACUGGGCGUAAAGGGUGUGCAGGCGGGCUGUUAAGUGGGGUGUGAAAUAUCCCGGCUCAACCGGGAAGGGUUAUGCCAGACUGGCAGUCUAGAGAGCGAGAGAGGGACGUGGAAUUCCGGGUGUAGUGGUGAAAUGCGUAGAGAUCCGGAGGAACCCCAGAGGCGAAGGCGGCGUCCUGGCUCGCAUCUGACGCUCAGACACGACAGCAUGGGGAGCGAACGGG
rnacentral:rRNA from 1 species